CGAAAAAUGAAAAGUACCACAUAA
rnacentral:miRNA from 1 species